AGUGAACGCUGGCGGUAGGCCUAACACAUGCAAGUCGAACGGCAGCACAGUAAGAGCUUGCUCUUACGGGUGGCGAGUGGCGGACGGGUGAGGAAUACAUCGGAAUCUACUUUUUCGUGGGGGAUAACGUAGGGAAACUUACGCUAAUACCGCAUACGACCUACGGGUGAAAGCAGGGGAUCUUCGGACCUUGCGCGAUUGAAUGAGCCGAUGUCGGAUUAGCUAGUUGGCGGGGUAAAGGCCCACCAAGGCGACGAUCCGUAGCUGGUCUGAGAGGAUGAACAGCCACACUGGAACUGAGACACGGUCCAGACUCCUACGGGAGGCAGCAGUGGGGAAUAUUGGACAAUGGGCGCAAGCCUGAUCCAGCCAUACCGCGUGGGUGAAGAAGGCCUUCGGGUUGUAAAGCCCUUUUGUUGGGAAAGAAAAGCAGCAGGUUAAUACCCCGCUGUUCUGACGGUACCAAAAGAAUAAGCACCGGCUAACUUCGUG
rnacentral:rRNA from 1 species